rnacentral:lncRNA from 1 species
AGCCAGUCUGCAGCCAGUUGUCCUGGUUGGGCUCCAGCACAUUGCACACUUGGAGGCAUCGGAUCAGCAGCCUGCAACCUCUCAGCAUGGAUCACAGAAAAUGGUUUGGACAGCAGAGUCCGCAGACCAGAGACAGGAGGUCAGGACACCCCGGAGUCUUGGGAGAUUACCCUCUGGAGCUUAAACCAGGGGGUGGGCCACCAAGGUGAGGGCCUCUCCAGAGGCGUCAGCGACUGUGGGCAGGACCGCCGACGGCUUUCCGAGAUCCGCGCAACUGACAGCACAUCGGAAUCGCGAACUGGAAGGCAUCAGCCAUCCAGGGCCCAGACCAACCCCGCGGUCAACGCCUCAGAUUCCAGCUCCUCCGGAUUCUGCACCUAGAUAUGACGCCUCUGGAUUCAACUGAGCGUAUAGCUCCCCUAAAUGCACAAUCAGAGGCAAGACGCGGGCUCCAGUAUCGCCGACAGCCUCAAACCCGGCAACGCGGAGCGCGCCCGGCAGACUACGCUCAGAAUUCAGCACUGCGGACAGUUCCAUGAUCAGCACGUCGGGCAGCGCCCGGAUCCAGCCCCCUCGACCAGCAUUCCACCUUCUGUUGGCCACACUGUGGUCUCCUAGCCCCUGUAGUCCGGGCUCCAUCCCGUCUCCCCAUAUUCCGAGCUCACCUCCGCAUCUCCCUGUCUCCACUCUUCAUCUCCCCGCCCCCGCACCUCCCACCUCCAAUCACUCAGCUUGUCCGUCUCACCGGCCGCUGGACCGCCGCCUCUGGCUCCCGCGGUUCCUGGCCUCUUUCUUUCCCAACCUCCCGGGUCUCCAGCCCCCAAGCUCCUCAGCGCCCCUCUCUUCGCUACUGCUUGAUCACAUUUUUCUCUGUCUCUCCAGUUCUUUGCUGCCUGCUUGCUUCAAGCCCCAAUACAGACUCUAGUCUCUCCAAUGACUCCUUCCCCCAGAACCCCCAUCGCCAGCCCCCUAUCUUUUGGUAUGCCACGCUCCGAGCAGAGCUCACCAGUCUUCUCACCUUCCUCGGCGGUCCCAGGCCGCCAGGGUCCCAAAAGCAGCGCGAGACAGAGCUGCAUCCGGCAGAGGAAGAGGCGCAGCGGGUGUGGACCGGCGCAGGUCUCCAUGGUCCGCAGACCGAGCUGUCAGUCCGGCGGCGGCUCAAGCCGCGCCAGCCUAGCACCGCUGAGCAAUGCCCCCAGACCCCAGAGCCAGCGGGGGGCGGAGUCUCACCGCUCACCAUCAUCCAUGGGAACCAAUCACUAGGCACCGCCGCGGGAUGCCAA